rnacentral:rRNA from 1 species
GGAUCAUUACGAAAAGAGUAUCCGUACUCGUAAACCCUUUGUGAACAUACCUAUCGUCAGUUGCUUCGGCGGGAGGCCCCCUGGUGGGGUCCCGGGGCCCGGCCGCUCAGCCGGGCUCCCGCCGGAGGAGCGCACCCAAAACUCUUGCUGCAACCCAGUGGAAAUUCCGAGUCAAACAAACAAAAACAAAUCAAAACUUUCAACAACGGAUCUCUUGGUUCUGGCAUCGAUGAAGAACGCAGCGAAAUGCGAUAAGUAAUGUGAAUUGCAGAAUUCAGUGAAUCAUCGAAUCUUUGAACGCACAUUGCGCCCGCCAGUAUUCUGGCGGGCAUGCCUGUUCGAGCGUCAUUUCAACCCCUCAGGCCCUGGUGCCUGGCGUCGGGGCCUUUCGUGUCUCGUACACGAAAGCCCCUAGAGACAUUGGCGGACCCGCCGCGGCUCCGAGCGCAGUAGUAAAAUUCUCGCUCCGGGGACCCGCGGGGGGAAACUUCCUGCCGUAAAACAAAAUUCUUCGGAAAUUCAAAAAGGUUGACCUCGGAUCAGGUAGGAAUACCCGCUGAACUUAAGCAUAUCAAUAAGCGGAGGAAAAGAAACCAACAGGGAUUGCCCCAGUAACGGCGAGUGAAGCGGCAACAGCUCAGAUUUGAAAUCUGGCCUCCAGGCCCGAGUUGUAAUCUGUAGAGGAUGCUUCUGGCAAGGCGCCGUCCGAGUUCCCUGGAACGGGACGCCGGAGAGGGUGAGAGCCCCGUACAGGCGGACGCCGAGCCUCUGUGAAGCUCCUUCGACGAGUCGAGUAGUUUGGGAAUGCUGCUCAAAGCGGGAGGUAAAUUUCUUCUAAAGCUAAAUACCGGCCAGAGACCGAUAGCGCACAAGUAGAGUGAUCGAAAGAUGAAAAGCACUUUGAAAAGAGGGUUAAAAAGCACGUGAAAUUGUUGAAAGGGAAGCGCCUGUGACCAGACUCGCGCCCGGCGGAUCAUCCGGCGUUCUCGCCGGUGCACUCCGCCGGGCUCGGGCCAGCAUCGGUUCUGGCGGGGGGAUAAAGGCGGCGGGGAUGUGGCUCCCCCGGGAGUGUUGUAGCCCGCCGCUCAAUGCCCCCGCCGGGACCGAGGACCGCGC